rnacentral:rRNA from 1 species
CCUACGGGUGGCUGCAGUGAGGAAUAUUGGUCAAUGGACGAGAGUCUGAACCAGCCAAGUCGCGUGAAGGAUGACGGUACUACGGGUUGUAAACUUCUUUUGUCAGGGAGCAAUUGGGUCCACGCGUGGGCUUAGCGAGAGUACCUGAAGAAAAAGCAUCGGCAAACUCGGUGCCAGCAGCCGCGGUAAUACGGAGGAUGCGAGCGUUAUCCGGAUUUAUUGGGUUUAAAGGGUGCGUAGGCGGAAUAUCAAGUCAGCGGUAAAAAUUCGGGGCUCAACCCCGUCGUGCCGUUGAAACUGGUGUUCUUGAGUGGGCGAGAAGUAUGCGGAAUGCGUGGUGUAGCGGUGAAAUGCAUAGAUAUCGCGCAGAACUCCGAUUGCGAAGGCAGCAUACCGGCUCCACACUGACGCUGAAGCACGAAAGCGUGGGUAUCGAACAGGAUUAGAUACCCCGGUAGUC